rnacentral:rRNA from 1 species
UAUACAUGCAGUCGAGCGACAGACGAAGAGCUUGCUCCUCUGACGUUAGCGGCCGACGGGUAUAUAAGGCGUGGAUAACCUACCUAUAAGACUGGGAUAAUUCUGGAAACCGGAGCUAAUACCGGAUAAUAUAUUGAACCGGAUGGUUCAAUAGUGAAAGACGGUUUUGCUGUCACUUAUAGAUGGAUCCGCGCCGCAUUAGCUAGUUGGUGAGGUAACGGCUUACCAAGGCAACGAUGCGUAGCCGACCUGAGAGGGUGAUCGGCCACACUGGAACUGAGACACGGUCCAGACUCCUACGGGAGGCAGCAGUAGGGAAUCUUCCGCAAUGGGCGAAAGCCUGACGGAGCAACGCCGCGUGAGUGAUGAAGGUCUUCGGAUCGUAAAACUCUGUUAUUAGGGAAGAACAAAUGUGUAAGUAACUAUGCACGUCUUGACGGUACCUAAUCAGAAAGCCACGGCUAACUACGUGCCAGCAGCCGCGGUAAUACGUAGGUGGCAAGCGUUAUCCGGAAUUAUUGGGCGUAAAGCGCGCGUAGGCGGUUUUUUAAGUCUGAUGUGAAAGCCCACGGCUCAACCGUGGAGGGUCAUUGGAAACUGGAAAACUUGAGUGCAGAAGAGGAAAGUGGAAUUCCAUGUGUAGCGGUGAAAUGCGCAGAGAUAUGGAGGAACACCAGUGGCGAAGGCGACUUUCUGGUCUGUAACUGACGCUGAUGUGCGAAAGCGUGGGGAUCAAACAGGAUUAGAUACCCUGGUAGUCCACGCCGUGAACGAUGAGUGCUAAGUGUUAGGGGGAUUCCUGCCCUUAGUGCUGCAGCUAACGCAUUAAGCACUCCGCCUGGGGAGUACGACCGCAAGGUUGAACUCAAGGAAUUGACGGGGACCCGCACAAGCGGUGGAGCAUGUGGUUUAAAUCGAAGCAACGCGAAGACCUUACCAAAUCUUGACAUCCUCUGACCCUCUAGAGAUAGAGUUUCCCUUC